UACGAAGGGUGCAAGCGUUAAUCGGAAUUACUGGGCGUAAAGGGUGCGUAGGCGGUUCGUUAAGUCUGUCGUGAAAUCCCCGGGCUCAACCUGGGAAUGGCGAUGGAAACUGGGCAGCUAGAGUGUGUCAGAGGAUGGUGGAAUUCCCGGUGUAGCGGUGAAAUGCGUAGAGAUCGGGAGGAACAUCAGUGGCGAAGGCGGCCUUCUGGACCAAUACUGACGCUCAUGCACGAAAGCGUGGGGAGCAAACAGG
rnacentral:rRNA from 1 species